AGCGAACGCUGGCGGCAGGCUUAACACAUGCAAGUCGAGCGCCCCGCAAGGGGAGCGGCAGAACGGGUGAGUAACGCGUGGGAACGUACCCUUCGGUUCGGAACAAACCCAGGGAAACUUGGGCUAAUACCGGAUACGCCCCUUCGGGGGAAGAUUAUUGCCGAGGGAGUCGGCCCGCGUCUGAUUAGCUAGUUGGUGGGGUAACGGCCCACCAAGGCGACGAUCAGUAGCUGGUCUGAGAGGAUGAUCAGCCACACUGGGACUGAGACACGGCCCAGACUCCUACGGGAGGCAGCAGUGGGGAAUAUUGGACAAUGGGC
rnacentral:rRNA from 1 species